AUUGUGUUAGACCUUUCAACCUGAGCAUUGAUAGUUGUGGAUGACACUAGGAGAGUUGGGACAAUUUUCGUUGGUUUAUUUCUCACACAAUGCCAUGCCAACCUGAGGGGUUGGGGAUACAUAUUUAUAGGCUGCUAGCCAGCCAAGCAUAUGCUAAGAUGCUAGUCUAAGAUGCUGCUAAGAUGCUAGUCCAAGAUGCUAUCCUAACUGCUAGUCCUUGAUGGUCAAGGAUUCUAUCCUAACAGCCACAAGGACCAUGUGCUGCAGCCCCACAAAGGACUAUGUGCUGCAGCCCCACAAAGGACUAUCUGCUGCAGCCCCACAAAGACCAUAGUACAUAGACUUAUCCAUCAUUCCCCCCUAAGUCUUGUACGUCGUCUUGUGGGAGAGUCGAAUCAUCCCAAUCCUGGAGCAGAGUUCGAGGAACUUGAUCCUCCCAAGAGGCUUGGUGAGCAGGUAUUCUAGCUGGUCCGUGGUGUUGAUGUAGCUCGCCUCGAUGCUCCC
rnacentral:lncRNA from 1 species